ACUCUAGUAAGACUGCCGGUGACAAACCGGAGGAAGGUGGGGAUGACGUCAAAUCAUCAUGCCCCUUAUGACCUGGGCUACACACGUGCUACAAUGGAUGGUACAACGAGUUGCGAGACCGCGAGGUUAAGCUAAUCUCUUAAAGCCAUUCUCAGUUCGGACUGUAGGCUGCAACUCGCCUACACGAAGUCGGAAUCGCUAGUAAUCGCGGAUCAGCACGCCGCGGUGAAUACGUUCCCGGGCCUUGUACACACCGCCCGUCACACCAUGAGAGUUUGUAACACCCGAAGCCGGUGGCGUAACCCUUUUAGGGAGCGAGCCGUCUAAGGUGGGACAAAUGAUUAGGGUGAAGUCGUAGCAAGGUAGCCGUAGGAGAACCUGCGGCUGGAUCACCUCCUUU
rnacentral:rRNA from 1 species